CGAGAUGGCUCGGACGCAGAAGAACAAAGCUACAGG
rnacentral:sRNA from 1 species